rnacentral:rRNA from 1 species
AGAGUUUGAUCAUGGCUCAGAUUGAACGCUGGCGGUAUGCUUAACACAUGCAAGUCGAACGGAAACGAUGGUAGUUUGUUACCAGGCGUCAAGUGGCGGACGGGUGAGUAACGCGUAGGAAUCUGCCCAGUAGUGGGGGACAACCAGGGGAAACCCUGGGUAAUACCGCAUACACUACGCAGAGAAGGAGGCCUCUUCUUGAAAGCUUUCGCUAUUGGAUGAGCCUGCGUGAGAUUAGCUAGUUGGUAGGGUAAAGGCCUACCAAGGCGACGAUCUCUAGCUGGUCUGAGAGGACGAUCAGCCACACUGGGACUGAGAUACGGCCCAGACUCCUAUGGGAGGCAGCAGUGGGGAAUAUUGGACAAUGGACGCAAGCCUGAUCCAGCCAUGCCGCGUGUGUGAAGAAGGCCCUAGGGUUGUAAAGCACUUUCAGCAGUGAAGAAAUGCUUAAGGUUAAUAACCUUGAGUCGUGACGGUACCUGCAGAAGAAGCACCGGCUAACUACGUGCCAGCAGCCGCGGUAAUACGUAGGGGGCAAGCGUUGUCCGGAUUUAUUGGGCGUAAAGAGCUCGUAGGCGGUUAGUCACGUCGGAUGUGAAAACCCAUUGCUUAACACUGGGCCUGCAUUCGAUACGGGCUGACUAGAGUGUUGUAGGGGAGACUGGAACUCCUGGUGUAGCGGUGAAAUGCGCAGAUAUCAGGAAGAACACCGGUGGCGAAGGCGGGUCUCUGGGCAACUACUGACGCUGAGGAGCGAAAGCGUGGGGAGCAAACAGGAUUAGAUACCCUGGUAGUCCACGCCGUAAACGGUGGGCGCUAGGUGUGGGGAACAUUCCACGUUCUCCGUGCCGCAGCUAACGCAUUAAGCGCCCCGCCUGUGGAGUACGGCCGCAAGGCUAAAACUCAAAGGAAUUGACGGGGGCCCGCACAAGCGGCGGAGCAUGCGGCUUAAUUCGAUGCAACGCGAAGAACCUUACCUAGGCUUGACAGUUGGGGAAAUCUGGCAGAGAUGCCAGGUCCGUAAGGGCCCCAAAACAGGUGGUGCAUGGCUGUCGUCAGCUCGUGUCGUGAGAUGUUGGGUUAAGUCCUGCAACCAGCGCAACCCUCGUCGUAUGUUGCCAGCGGAUAAUGCCGGGGACUCAUACGAGACUGCCGGGGUCACCUCGGAGGAAGGUGGGCACGAAGUCAAGUCAUCAUGCCCCUUAUGUCUAGGGCUGCACGCAUGCUACAAUGGCCGGUACAGAGGGCUGCGAUACCGUAAGGUGGAGCGAAUCCCAAAAAGCCGGUCUCAGUUCGGAUUGGGGUCUGCAACUCGACCCCAUGAAGUCGGAGUCGCUAGUAAUCGCAGAUCAGCAACGCUGCGGUGAAUACGUUCCCGGGCCUUGCACUCACCGCCCGUC